rnacentral:rRNA from 1 species
UGGGGAAUCUUGCGCAAUGGCCGAAAGGCUGACGCAGCGACGCCGCGUGAGGGAUGACGGCCUUCGGGUUGUAAACCUCUGUUGCCCGGGACGAACCGGCGGUUUCGACCGCCUUGACGGUACCGGGUGAGGAAGCACCGGCUAACUCUGUGCCCGCAGCCGCGGUAAUACAGAGGGUGCGAGCGUUGUCCGGAAUCACUGGGCGUAAAGGGCGCGUAGGCGGUCCGGUAAGCGCGUGGUGAAAGCUCGGGGCUCAACCCCGAGUCGGCCGUGCGAACUGCGGGACUGGAGCAUGUCAGAGGCAGGCGGAAUUCCGGGUGUAGCGGUGGAAUGCGUAGAGAUCCGGAAGAACACCGGUGGCGAAGGCGGCCUGCUGGGACAUUGCUGACGCUGAGGCGCGACAGCGUGGGGAGCAAA